CCUACGGGAGGCAGCAGUGGGGAAUAUUGCACAAUGGGCGCAAGCCUGAUGCAGCCAUGCCGCGUGUGUGAAGAAGGCCUUCGGGUUGUAAAGCACUUUCAGCGGGGAGGAAGGCGGUGAGGUUAAUAACCUCAUCGAUUGACGUUACCCGCAGAAGAAGCACCGGCUAACUCCGUGCCAGCAGCCGCGGUAAUACUGAGGGUGCAAGCGUUAAUCGGAAUUACUGGGCGUAAAGCGCACGCAGGCGGUCUGUCAAGUCGGAUGUGAAAUCCCCGGGCUCAACCUGGGAACUGCAUUCGAAACUGGCAGGCUAGAGUCUUGUAGAGGGGGGUAGAAUUCCAGGUGUAGCGGUGAAAUGCGUAGAGAUCUGGAGGAAUACCGGUGGCGAAGGCGGCCCCCUGGACAAAGACUGACGCUCAGGUGCGAAAGCGUGGGGAGCAAACAGGAUUAGAUACCCGUGUAGUC
rnacentral:rRNA from 1 species